CCCCCCACCGCCUCCCACCACGGCUAAGCUGUUUGUGGUGAAAUCUGUCUCUCUUUCAUUCACGGAACCCUGUUUGUGCCACCGCUGCACUGCGGACAUACAAUCCAACGACUUGGGGAUCCUGGAUCUGGACCUGCUGCCACCCACUUCCAACUCUGUCUGUCUGCAGGACAAUUGACAGGUUGGCUCCUAGCAGCAACACCCUAUUUCCUCCAAAGAAGACAGAAGACAGAUGGGCACAAAACAACAUCCACCCACAAUUAGCUUCAUCAAGUGAAAGCGCUAACCAUUUGGAAAAACUGCCUUUCAUCUAAACUCCUAAAGAUCUCCAGACAGUGGAAAGAAUUGACUGGAAUCGAUGGCCUAGCUGCUCAGGGCAAGGUAGGCUUGUCUUCCUACAGAUUUCCUAACCCACCGGAACUUCUAAAGCUUUCAAGCCCUGCGUUAGCAGAAGACAAGUAAGGCCCUCGACGACCAUGGAGGACCCUGAGGAGUGGCUCUAGGUAGCCAAUAGAGUACCUUUCCAUUUUUGUGACCAACUAUCUGAAAAGAAAGAAGAGGAGUGUGUUACAUCUCAGUUUGCAGAGGCACAGUCCAUGUGGUUGGGAAGUCACGGCAGCCAGAGUGGUUUAUAGUGGCUGCAGGAGCAAGGCUGCUAGACUGCCUCUCAGCAGACCAGAAAACAGAUGAAGAAGGAUAGCAUCCUUGACUUAAUUCUCCCUUUGGACUCAGCACAGGAUCGCAGUAUGGAGGAUGAAGUCACCCACAUUCAGCAUACCAACAGUCUCUGCAGAGACUCAUAACUGUCACAGCGCUAAGAAUAAGAGACUGGUACUCCAGACUAUCUCACCAUCUCCCUUUCCUUGGGCCCCUCUCUCCCUAGCCAUGGGAAGCAUCAGGUCCAGUAAUAGCCUCUAAGUGUACAAAGGAAAGAAGAACCACGCAUGUCUCCCUUUAAACCUAUGUGUAACGAGGAGGGCAUGCCAAAGGAUGAGAUGAGCUCCUCUUGAGCCAAACAGCCGAGUUAUAAAUAUAAGGAAAGAGUCUCGAAGGAAAUUCAAAGUGCUACUCCAGAGAACAGCCAAAUGAUAAGAAAACAAAACAGUUUUACUGCCAAUAUGAAAAAUUUUAACAAUCUGGAGCGAAAAAUCAAACCAGCUACAGGCUAUUCCAGAGCAAAGUCUUAAGUUUUAAUUCUAUGAAGACUGGACGGUGUAGAAGCUACAGAAAUACAGUCAGAACCUAAAAGAUAUUUGUCCACGAGGCUGAAGAGGGAAAAGCCGUUUGUGGUAUGGAAUCAUCCAGUUAGAAGCAAAACCACUAUGCUAAUGACCAAUCCAGGAGCUGCGGCUAAGGUCGUCGGGGAAGGUGGCCAUGCAAACAAGAGGUUUCCACUGCCUGUCAUCAACCUUGUGUUGAAAAAGGAUACCAUGUUGGACUUUCAUAGCUGGAGAGACUCCAACCCACGCCUGGCACCAAAGCAUCAAAAGAGCCCGACUCUCCCUAGAGGACAAUGCAGCUGGCUGUCUUGGCCUGGAGCCAGCGCUUGUUUGUCACCCCAAAGUCCCUAUGGACAGUACGAGUUCCACUGGCUCUGUCUCUCCGGGCUGUGCUGGAGCUCAUGUCUUUAUAGCACGGCUUACUGAGUAGUUCAAGUGUGCUGUUGAGAGCUUCUGCUCAAGGAAAAAUUGCUUUCGAAAUAUUAUAUUUGCUGUUUACCCAAGAGCUUAGAAGGAGGGGUGUGGUAAGGCCAGUGUGAUUUCUAGACAUGAUAACACAAAAUCCAUUCUGCAGAUUGAGGAAUAAUUCCAUAUUUAAGAAACACUGUUCAAAAGGCCACCAUUACCACAGGAGAACUGAGACAAGUUGAGUGAAAACUUAGAAAGGGUUUUCUAGAGACCAAUCAGAGAUCACUCUAGAGACCAUUAAAAAACUUGGUGACUCACAAAUAGCUUGAAAUGUUCCAGUUCCCAUGCAUGACUUUGAGAGGAUCUAGAUUUCAGUGGAAGAGGUGGUAGAGAGAGCCUGAGAACUGGACAUGACUGAAUUCUGCAGUCCUGUAACAAACUUUAAUAAAGAAGUGAUUGCUUUGUA